CCUACGGGUGGCAGCAGUGGGGAAUAUUGCUCAAUGGGGGAAACCCUGAUGCAGCGACGCCGCGUGAGUGAUGAAGUUUUUCGGUAUGUAAAGCCCUUUUAGCAGGGAAGAUAAUGACGGUAUCUGACUAAUAAGCCCCGGCUAACUCCGUGCCAGCAGCCGCGGUAAUACGGAGGGGGCAAGCGUUACUCGGAAUUACUGGGCGUAAAGGGUGCGCAGGCGGGCUUGUAAGUCAGAUGUGAAAUCCUGUGGCUUAACUACGGAACUGCAUUUGAAACUGUGCGGCUAGAGUGCGGGAGAGGUAGGUGGAAUUCCUGGUGUAGGGGUAAAAUCCGUAGAUAUCAAGAGGAAUACUAAUUGCGAAGGCGACCUACUGGAACAUAACUGACGCUCAUGCACGAAAGCGUGGGGAGCAAACAGGAUUAGAUACCCCAGUAGUC
rnacentral:rRNA from 1 species